GUUCUUUUAGGUGGUUCCCUUAUUAAUUGGCUCCUUUUAUUAUUUUCUCUGUCCGUCUCUACUUGCUCACCGUUUGAGUGGAGUUCUUUUAGUUGCAGUAGACAGACUUUUUCAGACCAGUGGAGGGAAGUUAGGAGGAAGUGGCACAACCGGGAGAAAGAAUGCCCACAGAGGUCACACUGGAGCAGGAGCCCAGAUCUUGUCUGGUUGUCCCCACAAGAAAACUGACAUAACAACCGGACAGACCUGUGAUGCCUCAGAGGGAGAGGAGCUCUUGGGAGUGGUGCAGCGCAGAGCUUGCUGCCUCAGCUGCCUCUCAGCCUGCCAGCUCGAGAGGUGUCCUUGCAAGGACCGCAUGUGGCCGUGGAAUGGUGGCUCUCCCACUCAGGGGACAUAAAUGCGUGGGUUUGGGAAUAUGGAGAACUUUUGGGGGGAGAGCGGACGAAGAUGAGCAUUUGUUGAGAACUUCUCACAUGCAAGGUGCUAUGUAUACUGUUUGACAUACAGUAUUCGCAAUUUUGCAUCAAA